GACGAACGCUGGCGGCGUGCUUAACACAUGCAAGUCGAGCGGUAAGGCCCUUUCGGGGGUACACGAGCGGCGAACGGGUUGAGUAACACGUGGGUGACCUGCCCUCAGCUCUGGGAUAAGCCUGGGAAACCGGGUCUAAUACUGGAUAUGACUCCAUGACGCAUGUUGUGGGGUGGAAAGCCUUGUGCGGCUGAGGAUGGGCCCGCGGCCUAUCAGCUUGUUGGUGGGGUGAGGCCUACCAAGGCGACGACGGGUAGCCGGCCUGAGAGGGCGACCGGCCACACUGGGACUGAGACACGGCCCAGACUCCUACGGGAGGCAGCAGUGGGGAAUCUUGCGCAAUGGGCGAAAGCCUGACGCAGCGACGCCGCGUGAGGGAUGACGGCCU
rnacentral:rRNA from 1 species